AUCGGUUUUUUCUAAACUCGAAAUUUCGACUUCUUUUUAACUCAAAAUUUCGACUUGUUUUGAACUCAAAAUUUCGACAUGUUUUGAACUCAAAAUUUCGAAUUUUCCUAAGUAUUUAUACGUAUACGUUUGCGAUUACCGCAUUCACAGUCAUUUAUAUCAGCAAGCGGAGAGCCAUAUACAUCAUAAACUUAAUAAGCACAUUUUAAUAAACUAAACCAUUUUAAAGAGGUUAUUUUAGAUAGAAAAUCUUGUUCUUGCCGAAGAAUAAAUAAAACAUGUUUCACGUUCAAAUACAUAUUUCAAGUCUGGACUUCAGAUAUGUGUAUCAAGACAACCCCGUUAUUCCGAUACACCCAUGUUAAUUACGACAUACUUUUAUUCAACAGUCUGAUAUAUAAAGACAAUGGUUAAUAGUUGUGUAAUAAGAAUGUCAACUUGUAGAGUUGAAUCAACAUUCCAGAAAAAAGAACCAUUUAUUUAUUUCAAAAUUCCAAAACUAGAAAACCGAGCA
rnacentral:lncRNA from 1 species